rnacentral:rRNA from 1 species
AGAACUGUGGGGACACGUGUGGAGAGCACAAGCCGGAAAUGGAAAAGCCGGUGCAAGCGAGGUAGGAGUACAGUAGGCAAAUCCGCUGUACAAUCCGAAGACGUGAUGCGGACCGAAUUAAGAGUAGGGAAGUGUGUGAGCCAUGCGUCAAGAAAAGCCGCUAUUGUUUUACUUAAGCCCGUACCGUAAACCGACACAGGUGGAUGAGGAGAGAAUCCUAAGGCCGACGGGAGAAGCAUUGUUAAGGAACUCGGCAAAAUGACUCCGUAACUUCGGAGAAGGAGUGCCAGCGAGAGCUGGCCGCAGAGAAUUGGCCCAAGCAACUGUUUAGCAAAAACACAGGUCUAUGCAAAACCGUAAGGUGAAGUAUAUGGGCUGACGCCUGCCCGGUGCUGGAAGGUUAAGAGGAGAGGUUAGCGGCAACGCGAAGCUUUGAAUUUAAGCCCUAGUAAACGGCGGCCGUAACAAUAACGGUCCUAAGGUAGCGAAAUUCUUGUCGGGUAAGUUCCGACCCGCACGAAAGGCGUAAUGAUUUGGGCACUGUCUCAACAAUGCACCCGGUGAAAUUGAAAUACCAGUGAAGAUGCUGGUUACCUGCGCCAGGACGGAAAGACCCCAUGGAGCUUUACUCCAGCUUGAUACUGGGAUUCGGUAUUGCAUGUACAGGAUAGGUGGGAGGCUAGGAAGUGAUAACGCCAGUUGUCACGGAGCCGCUGUUGGGAUACCACCCUUGCAGUAUUGGAUUUCUAACCAGCGACCAUGAACUGGUCGGGGGACAAUGUCAGGUGGGGAGUUUGACUGGGGCGGUCGCCUCCGAAAGGGUAUCGGAGGCGCUCAAAGGUUCCCUCAGAAUGGACGGAAACCAUUCGAAGAGUGCAAAGGCAGAAGGGAGCUUGACUGCGACACCGACGGGUGGAGCAGGUACGAAAGUAGGACUUAGUGAUCCGGUGGUAUAAAGUGGGAUUGCCAUCGCUCAUCGGAUAAAAGCUACCCUGGGAUAACAGGCUUAUCACUCCCAAGAGUUCACAUCGACGGAGUGGUUUGGCACCUCGAUGCCGGCUCAUCGCAUCCUGGGGCUGAAGUAGGUCCCAAGGGUUGGGCUGUUCGCCCAUUAAAGCGGUACGCGAGCUGGGUUCAGAACGUCGUGAGACAGUUCGGUCCCUAUCCGGCGUGGGCGUAGGAUAUUUGAGAGGAGCUGUCCUUAGUACGAGAGGACCGGGAUGGACUGGCCGCUGGUGUAUCUGUUGCAUACCAAAUGCAUGGCAGAGUAGCCAAGCCGGGACGGGAUAAACGCUGAAGGCAUCUAAGCGUGAAGCCCCCCUCAAGAUGAGAUAUCCCUACGUAAGUAGUAAGACCCCUUGAAGACGACGAGGUAGAUAGGUCAGAGGUGGAAGUACAGUAAUGUAUGGAGCUGACUGAUACUAAUCGGUCGAGGGCAUGACC